rnacentral:rRNA from 1 species
UACGAAGGGUGCUAGCGUUGCUCGGAAUCACUGGGCGUAAAGCGCACGUAGGCGGCUGACUAAGUCAGGGGUGAAAUCCUGGAGCUCAACUCCAGAACUGCCUUUGAUACUGGUGAGCUUGAGUCCGGAAGAGGUGAGUGGAACUGCGAGUGUAGAGGUGAAAUUCGUAGAUAUUCGCAAGAACACCAGUGGCGAAGGCGGCUCACUGGUCCGGUACUGACGCUGAGGUGCGAAAGCGUGGGGAGCAAACAGG